AGGGAAAAGCUCAAAUUUUGAAUCUGGUGUCUUUGACUCCCGAGUUGUAAUCUAGAGAAGUGUUUUCCGCGUUGGACCGUGCAAAAGUUCCCUGGAACGGGGUGUCAUAGAGGGUGAGAAUCCCGUAUAUGGCACGGACUACCAUUGCUAUGUGAUACACUCUCAAC
rnacentral:rRNA from 1 species